rnacentral:rRNA from 1 species
AUCUACAGUCAUGCCACCCUGAACCUGCCCGAUCUUGUCUGAUCUCACAAGCUAAGUAGGUCAAGCCUGGUUAGUACUUGGAUGGGAGACCUAGGAAUACCAGGUGCUGUUAGUG